UACAGAGGGGGCAAGCGUUAUUCGGAAUUAUUGGGCGUAAAGGGCGCGUAGGCGGCUUGGCAAGUGGAAGGUGAAAUCCCUCGGCUUAACCGAGGAACUGCCCUCCAAACUGCUUGGCUUGAGACCGGGAGAGGUGAGUGGAAUUCCAAGUGUAGCGGUGAAAUGCGUAGAUAUUGGGAGGAACACCAGUGGCGAAGGCGGCUCACUGGACCGGUACUGACGCUGAGGCGCGAAAGCGUGGGGAGCAAACGGG
rnacentral:rRNA from 1 species